UCUGGUGGCCAUGGCGGGAGCAAAUCACCCGAUCCCAUCCCGAACUCGGCCGUCAAAUGCCCCAGCGCCCAUGAUACUCUGCCUCAAGGCACGGAAAAGUCGGUCGCCGCCAGAUCAAUCAGUCCAGCCUG
rnacentral:rRNA from 1 species